CUUUGCCUCGGGCCCGCGCCCACCGGAGGUUACCUCGUUCACACUGAGGGCGCAGCGGCCCAGCGCAAGCCCCGGGGCCGGCUUGACGGAACUCGAGCUGGACAGACCGCAGCGCUGGCCGCUGCCGGCGAGGUGGCGGCCAGCAGAGGGCGCCGCCCGGGCAUGGCCGAGGAGCGCCGAGGAUCCUGGUUCGGCUUCGGUUUCUGCGGCUUCGGGCAGGCGCUGGGCUCCGGGCGCGGGCGCCAGGUGCACAGCCCCGAGCCGCUGCAGACCCCGGGCGAGGGCGCGGACGUCUGCCGCGUGAGCGCGAGCUGGAGCUACACCGCCUUCGUGACCCGUGGAGGCCGGCUGGAGCUGUCGGGCUCCGCGGGCUGCGCGGCGGGCGGCUGCAGGGACGCGUGGGCCUCGGAGGCGCUCCUCGUGGUGCUGCGCGCCGGGCCGGGACGCGGGGCCGGGACGGAGCUGCAGGCCUGGGCGCCGGGUUCGGCGCUGAGCGGAGAGCCCCUGUGGGCCCACACCGUGGGGCCGGAGGCCGAGGGGGAAGACGCACCGGGCGGUGAGCCCCAGGCCGGGGCCCUGCCCCUGUUGCCCGGCGGGCGGGCCUACGUGAGUCCGCGGCCGCCCUUCUACAGCCCUCUGGCCCCCGAGCUGCGGGCGCGCCGGCUGGAGCUGGGCGCCGAGCACGCGUUGCUGCUGGACGAGGCGGGCCAGGUGUUCUCCUGGGGCCAGGGCCGGCAUGGACAGCUGGGCCACGGGACUCUGGAGGCCGAGCUGGAGCCGAGGCCGCUGGAGGCGCUGCAGGGCGUACCCAUGGCUGAGGUGGCUGCAGGGGGCUGGCACUCCGUGUGUGUGAGUGAGACUGGCGAUAUUUACAUCUGGGGCUGGAACGACUCCGGACAGCUGGCCCUGCCCAGCAGGAGCCUGGCAGAGGUUGGCAAGGCCGCUGCAGGGGAAGCCAGUGGACUGAAGGAAGACGGUUGUGACGUGAGGACAGCCGAGGGUGAGAGUGGAGGCCUGGCCCCCUUCAUAGCCAUCCAGCCCUUCCCCGCUUUACUGGAUCUCCCCCCGGGCACAGAUGCAGUCAAGGCCAGCUGUGGAUCCCGGCACACAGCAGUGGUGACCAGAACGGGGGAGCUCUACACCUGGGGCUGGGGUAAAUACGGACAGCUUGGCCACAAGGACACGAGCAGCUUGGAUCGGCCCCGCCGAGUGGAGUAUUUCGUAGACAAGCGGCUCCAGGACAUGUAUACGUCUAAGCAGCAUGGCGGACACAGACCAAAUCCAUGCUGGUGAGUUUUGAGAACCAUUGAACGUGCUGACAGAGGCAGACAAGAUAAGCUGGCUUACUCGCAGCAUCUCCCUGAAAACCGAAUCCAGGGUUCUCAGAAACUCGAAUGACAAGGAUGAACCUCUGAAGGUCUUCAUCAUUACGGAAUGGUGACAGUUAUGGUCUCCCAAGAUUAAUCCAAGACCUCAACCACAGGCACACAUCGAAGCCAGGUCCUUGACUGUCAUUAUCAAGUUAUUACUUGGGAUUAAGUACUGCCUUCUGGUCACACUUUCAGAUGGACUCAACCUGGAAGGUUCCCAAAGCCCUUUCCCAUCUGCAGGGCAGAAGGCGAAAGGUGGCCAAGAGCCCCAGCCUCAACAACGCCUCACAAACGGUGGUUCACAAAGCCUCACGUUCACCUUGCGCACUUUGCCCGGUGUGUUGGGUACCAGUCCUCGCCGCUUGCUGGGGGUUCGGGGAGCACUGCCAUAUAGCAUCUCUGUCUCUGUCUGCUUCUUGUUCUUUAGUUGCUGUGUGAAAGUCAGAAGGAACAGUGAAAACUCCCAGGAAAGGAACAGGUCUGGGAUAGGGCAGAAGUUGGGCCAGAUAUCUAGAGCCAAGUGCCUGAACCCAGAGCGAAAAGAGGUGCGGUGGGCUAGCCCUUCAGCCAACCCAGAUCCCUGGAAGAGACCCUGGGCUACUCACAUUACCAUCGUCCUCUUGCCCACACUGUGCUCACUUACUCUCUCUUGCUUGGCUCGCUCCUUCUCCAUUCGAUGCAUCUCCCAUUGUUCUGUCACAUACUCCAUGAAUUUCUGCCCAUUCACCACAAAUGCCUGCGAAUGCUCCUGUUCCCACAUUUCAAUCCGUGCCUUCAGCUCCUCUUCCAGCUGAGACCAUAAAGAAAGAAAUGUUAAUCACUUCAAAUCCUUGGUAUGAAGCCCGCAUGAAAGUAUUCUCCCAAAGGAAGACUCCCGCCCCAGAGCACGUAAGCCUAAUUUCAGGUAGCUGGACUCACGUGGGCCCAGGUCAGAGUGACCGGGAAGCAAAUCCUAGGGACGAUUUAUUCGUAACACACAUGAAGGUGGGAAACAGCAAGAACCCAGAGUCUAACUGGGUUUUGGUGCCUAAAGCUGGAGGCACUGGGGGGACAAGCAACAUUAAAUGAACAAUGUACAUUAUGGGGCGCCUGGGUGGCUCAGUUGGUUGAGCAUCCGACUUAAGCUCAGGUCAUGAUCUCGCAGUUCAUGAGUUCAAGCCCCGCGUCUGGCUCUGUGCUGACAGCUCGGAGCCUAGAGCCUGCUUCAGAUUCUGUCUCUCUUCCUCUCUCUGCCCCUUCCCUGCUCGUGCUCUGUCUCUCUCUCUCAAAAAUGAAUAAACGUUAAAAAAAUAUAUAUAUUAAAAAAAAAAACCACGAUGUAUAUUAAGAGCACCCCAAUCUGGGUCCCGAUCUAGAAUCUACCUCUUAUAGGCUAUGAAAAGUUACCUAAGUUCUCAGGGCCUCAGUCUCCUGAUGUAUAAAAAUGGAAAUGAAUAAAAUAGAACUACCCUACGACCCAGCGAUUACACUACUAGGUAUAUAUCCAAGGGAUACAGGUGUGCUGUUUCAAAGGGGUACGUGCACCCCCAUGUUUAUAGCAGCACUAUCAACAAUGGCCAAAGUAUGGAAAGAGCCCAAAUGUCCAUCAAUGGAUGAAUGGAUAAAGAAGAUGUGGUAUAUAUAUACAACGGAGUAUUACUCGGCAAUCGAAAAGAAUGAAAUCUUGCCAUAUGCAACAAUGUGGAUGGAACUAGAAAGUAUUAUGCUAAGUGAACUUAGAGAAAGACAAAUAAAUGACUUCACGCAUGUGGAAUUUAAGAUACAAAACAGAUGAACAGAUGAAGCAAAAAUAGUAUAAAAACAGGGAGGGGGGAAAAACAUAAGACACUCUUAAAUACAGAGAACUGAGGGUUGCUGGAGGGGCCGUGGGUGAGAGGAUGGGCUAAAUGGGGAAGGGGCAUUAAGGAAGACACUUGUUGGGAUGAGCACUGGGUGUUAUACACAUAGAGGAUGGAUCACUGGAAUCAACUCCUGAAAUCAUUACUGUACUACAUGCUAACUUAGAUGUAAAUUUAAAAUGAAUUAAUUAAGGGGCACCUGGGUGGCUCAGUCGGUUAAGUGUCCCACUUCAGCUCAGGUCAUGAGCUCAGGUUUGUGAGUUCAAGCCCCACAUUGGGCUCUGUGCUGACAGCUCAGAGCCUGGAGCCUGUUUCGGAUUCUGUGUCUCCCUCUCUCUCUGCCCCUCCCCUGCUCUGUCUCUCUCUCUCAAAAAUAAAUAAAUGUUAAAAAAAAAUUUUUUUUAAUAAAUUAAUAAAAAUUAAAAAAAAAUUUUAAUGGAAAUGACUAAAUGGAAAAUACUUUGGAAUAGUAUCUGGCACUUAAUUCAAUAAACACUAUUACUAUUAAAAUAGAGAACAGUAACAAAGCCCACAGCACUUUCUCAAAAGUUUGUCUUUUGUUAUAGGCUGAAUUGUAUCCUCCCAAAAUUCAUAUUUAAGUCCUAACCCCCGCCCCCCAAUACCUCAGAAUGUGACUUUUUUUUUUUCCCCACAAACAGGUAAUGAAGUUAAAUGAUAAAUGAGGUCAUUAGGGUCAACGUGACUGGUAGCUUUGUAAGAGAAAAAUCGGGACAUAGAUACAUACAGAAGGAAGACCAUGGAAAGAUAUAGGGAGGAAGAAAGUCAUCCUCAAGUCAAGGAUAGAGGCCUCCGAAGAAACCUACCCUACUGAUACUUUGAUCUCACACUUACAGCCUCCAGAAUUGUGAAAAAAUAAAUGUGUUGUUUAAGCCA